AACGCACAUUGCGCCCCGUGGUAUUCCGCGGGGCAUGCCUGUUCGAGCGUCAUUUCACCACUCCAGCCUGGCUGGGUGUUGGGCGUCGCGGUCCGCCGCGCGCCUUAAAGUCUUUCCGGCUGAGCGACCUGUCUCCAAGCGUUGUGAUUCCAUCAUUCGCGGCGAGGGAGGGCGACGGCGGCCGUUAAAUCUCCACUGAAAGGUUGACCUCGGAUCAGGUAGGGAUACCCGCUGAACUUAA
rnacentral:misc_RNA from 1 species